rnacentral:snRNA from 1 species
GCUUGCUUUGGCAGCAUAUACUAACAUUGGAAUGAUACAGAGAAGAUUAGCAUGGCUCCUGCUCAAGGAUGACAUGUAAAUAAUAUUAAAAAAAAAAAAACAA